rnacentral:rRNA from 1 species
UACGGGGGGGGCAAGCGUUGUUCGGAAUUACUGGGCGUAAAGGGCUCGUAGGCGGCCAACUAAGUCGGAUGUGAAAUCCCCAGGCUUAACCUGGGAACUGCAUCCGAUACUGGAUGGCUUGAAUCCGGGAGAGGGAUGCAGAAUUCCAGGUGUAGCGGUGAAAUGCGUAGAUAUCUGGAGGAAUGCCGGUGGCGAAGGCGGCAUCCUGGACCGGCAUUGACGCUGAUGAGCGAAAGCUAGGGGAGCAAACGGG